UCUAUUUUCUUAAGGCAUAACAGCGCCCAUUCAUCACUUGAGAGCAACAAAGCGGUAACCUGAUAAAUGACAAAUACUAGGAGCUUAAUGGCUGAUGUCCAUUACCGAUGGGUCCCUCUCACUUGCUGGAGGAGCCGGCACUGAAGGAUUAGUGAGCAGGCAGAGCACCUGAGAAAACUUGCUCUCCACAGUCUGUCAUCAAGGGUCUGAUGGAGGGCAUUACCUGAAGCUCUUAUCUAAAGCUGCAAACUGCUGCCACUGCCAAGAAUUUUCAGCAAAGAGUGGCCUACAGCCCAGCAGGGAGAGGGGAUGCUGACUCUCACAGCUCAUCCCUCUUUGGCUCUCUGGAACCCAAGGACCAGGCUGCCUUGAAUCACGGAUAAGCACAACAGCCUCGCGCCUCCAAUCUGCGCUGAAGACUUUAGUAAGACUGUAAAGUAUUUAGCCUUUACCUUCUUCUUUUCACAGCUAACUGGGGAAUACCCGUCUGUUUGAUGUCCUGGUAGGGAUGGGUUCUGUUGAUACUGAAGAAAAGCUUUGGGGCUGCUCACCCCCUUCCUCUUCUGAGAGGACCUCAUAGCCCAGGGAACUAAACUUGUCUUACUGGUUUGGUCCUUCAAGAAAUGUAAGUCAUGUUUUUUUCUCUAGUUAUUCUGCUGACCUAGAGAAUAUCGCCUUUCCAACAGUUGGAGGGUGGGUGGUUAAGGCUUAGGGGACUUGUCAAAUUAAUAAAUUCUAGGUGAAACUAAAAACUUUGGAGAUAUGUUUUUGCUCAUUUUUAUUGUCUUGACUAAAUAUCUACAGAUUUCCCAGAAAAAUAAUUACUUAUUUUUCUUGUUCACGGGUCUUAUUUCAAUGAUAUAUUAAUAUUUACUGAAUGUUAACAUUGUCUACUUAAUUUCAUUUAUGAGCUGAUAAGUACAAUACAUAUAAAUAUUAAAUUUAUAAGAGAAAUAAAAACACUAUUUAUGGCAGAAAUAAAAAAGCUUUAAAGGUAGCUGAAUUACUUGGAGCUAAUGUUAAUAACCGACAUUAUUGUGACAAUUUCUUAUAAAUGAAAGCAAUUCAACGAGUAAUCACUGAAGUUUCAAGUCGGCCACAGAAAAUCUGGUUUUUCUUCAAAUGUUUCAUAGUUGUGAUUUUUUUCUUUUUCUUUUCUUUCUUUCUUUCUUUUUUCUUUCUUUUUUUUUUCUGAGAGAACAAAAGCAUAUAUCUUCAGGGGAAAACAGACAUGGAUCAAAGCAAGAAGGAGUCUGACACUUCUUUUCCAGAAAAUCAAUGGCAGUUAGACAUAUUUAAAGUAGCGAUUAUGGUUUCAUUUUCAUAGUCCUUUUUUGAAAUUUCAGUCCUUUCAGCCUCCUGGGUGGACACCAGCAGCAUCCACCAUGUCCAUUAACAUUAACAUCCACCACAAACACAUCUGUACACAGGAGAGGAGGGGAAGAAAAAUGCUUUAAAAAAAAAACAUAAAACGCGGAGAGAGGCAGGGGAAAAGGCUUUGCCUAUGUAGAGUUUGUCCGCUCCUGCUUAGAGCACAUUGAAAAGCACUUAAAUGGUUGUAACUCAAACUAAAUGGACAGCUGAAAGAAUGGGGGAUGCUCUGGGUAAAGUCUCUUUGUCGAAGUGUGAGGACACCUCUGUGUACAAGUUCAUUUUGGGUGACAGACAGAAUAGAAGGUAUAACUUGCUCAAAGGAAACACUCAAACCGAAUAGGUUAUCAGCAUCAAGGCUCAAACUUGUGCAAAAACCUCAGUGACUUUAGUCCAAGCUUUGAGGGUGGGUGCCUUAUGUUCCGUUUAAAUCUGUAAGUUUCCCACAUUACCCCCACCAUGGCCUUCCAAGUGGCCAUACAUUUACUCCUGCCAUGUCACACGUGGAAUGGUGAGUUCAUUCCAUUUUAGCAUGUAAGAAGGAUCAUGGAUUUAGCAUCACAUGCACAGGGUCCUUUUGAACCAAAACUCAUUUUGGACAGAUAGGAUGCGGUCUGCUCCGGUUGUAGUUAGAUCAUUUUUACAGUUUACUCGGUUAUGGAUCAUGGAGAGAUUUUGGUCUCCAAAUAGCUUGUGACACGUUUGAGCCUAAAUUAAUCCUCUGUUAAAAAAAAUCCACAGCUUCAAAAUCUGGUUUAAGAUGUCCAUAGGCAUGUGCUGAUGACUACUCCGUGCUUCAAAAAUUAAAACUGCAAAACAGGCAGAGCUGAUCUAGUAUAAAAUCGCACACCUUUGUGCACAGAGAGAUGUGAGCUCAGUCUCCUUGACAUCCUCCAGUGCCAAUGAAAAUGCCAACUGUCAUUUACUAGUAAAGUUUAAACCCAAAUGCAGCAAGAAAUAGCAUCCAAGGAUCUCUUCUUACAUUUUCUAUCUUAUCAUUCGAGGUAAAUCUCAUGUAAUUAGUGGGCCUAACAGAGAGCUAACCAGAAUGGCUAAAAUACAAGAACUGUAGUAAAAUACAAGAACUAUAGUGUAUUUACAGCUGGGUUAUUUUUUUCAGAAUUAAAUAAAAAACUUUUCAGAGUAAAAUUAUGCACUACUAGUUAAUUAGGAACAAAAUACACAACCCUUUCAAAGUAAAUUACUCAGUUUAGGCAACACUUUAUAUAAACAGACACUGCUUUACCUUGGACUUCAUAUGGUUACAUCACCCUUCUCAGGGAAGCAAGGAGCUCUUUAUGGGAAUAAGCUCACCUAUCAGCUACUUACUUCCUCCAUGUAAACGAAAACCCAUCUUAUCUGCUUUUAAAAGGAAUGCAUUCUUUGGAAAGCCUCAGUGAAAGCUUGUUUUAGCUAUUAGUAUUUACUCACAAAAAUCUCAUAAUAGUUCUGAGCUCAACUGGCAGCCAUUUUAAACAUAAAACUGUGUGUGUGUGUGUGUGUGUGUGUGUGUUGUGUGUGUGUGAGUGUGUGUGUUGACAAUCACAUUUUAAACUGAUUCUUUCCAGAUGAAAAGAUACUUUUUCAAACAAUGUAAUAAAAAUGUAAACUCAGCUGUUUCACAGACAUAAAAGUGAUUUAUAUCACAUGCACUGCGCUCACAGAGCUUUUCUCCACACACAAUGCAAGUUUUAUUUUAGGGAAAAGUUAAUAAUUAACAGCUAGGGAAAUCCCACAAUGCAAAGAAGCCAGCUAUAGGGGAUUAGCCACCCCCUUUGCUUUCCCACAAAACAUUGGCCAAUAAACCUGGCAAGAAAACUAUGGCAUAUUUGAAAACUAAAAAGAGUCACCAUGGGAUGGCCCUUACCUUUUGUGGGGGUGGGGCAGAGAAGGGAUUGGAAGGAGACAUCGGAGGCCUGAGGGAGCUGCAGUCUGUCAGUCUGUCUUGGUGUGAGAGCUCAUUCACAGUCUUCAACUUGUGAAAACUCAUUGAACUGCACACCCCUGUUUUAUGCUAUGCUUUAAUCAAAAGUCCUAAAAGGCAAUUACAUUUUGUCUAUUUUUUUGCAACAGAAUAAAAGUCUUUUAAUGUAACUAGAUAAGUGUUCUCUCUCUCUCUCUCUCUCUCUCUCUCUCUCUCUCUCUCUCUCUCUCUCUCUCCUCUGUUAUAUUUUGGCCAUCAACAGACCUCUCAAAAGCAUAUGGCUGAAGAACUUACAAUUUUGUCAGUAGCAUUCUAGUCCUGAGAAGGACAGAGUAGGGUAAUAGUCUACACUCUAGAAGACAGACCUGGAAGGAAGGGAAGUCACAUGUAAUGAAAUCUCUACCCAAACAUGAUCCCAUCGAGGGAGACUCUAAGAGGCCAGGAAAGCCAUGCUUCUAGCAGCAUUUUUCUGAUGGCCGAGAACCUGAAUUCUGCACACCCAGUGCCUACUGUUUCCUGUUAAGGGGAGGCAGACCACAUCGAAACCCACUAUCACGAGCCACAGCACACCUCUCCCCUGUCAAACUGCUGGACAAGUAUUAAAUAAAUAGAAAAAUCAGUUUGUAGUCAGUCAAUGUGCUAAUAAACCGUGAAAUGUCCAAUCUGUCAAAAAUGAUGGUGGCACGGAACGCCAUUCAACGAGCAGCUCCCUGGAAGUCCCUGGCAUGAAGUGGCAACGUACACACACUUAAAACUUCACUUCCACAUUUCUUCCAUGGAUUUUUGGUCUUUAAAACUCUAGCGUUUAACUCAUCAGUUCAAAGUGCCCACUGCUGCUUUUCUGCGUCCUUUCUUCCUCACUAAAAUGCGUCUUCCCGCUCCGCACACCACCACAAGGCUUGCCUUCCUCUAGGCCCCUCACGUUCUAAAAUGAUGACAUAAUUGCCCAUUACUUCUGUCCUUCUGAUCUAAGGAAAUCAAAAAUAUCAACUUCGGUGCAGUGAGAUGACUCAGCAUGGAAAGGUGCUUGCAACAGAUUCCUGUACAACAAGAAAUCUCUAAGUCAGCUAUUGGUUGAAAGAAAAGAAAGGACCAAAUCUAGAGUUAAACAGCAUCACCACUGUAAUACAGUUUAAUCUACCAAAUAAUCUGCAGGAUUCCAUGUACAAUCCAGACCUUCUGUCAGGCUCCAAGGACAGCAGCAUUGGAGCGAUGAAGUCCUGACCUGUGGAUAGAUCGCUAUUCCCUUGCCAUGAAGAGACACUCUGCUUUAGGGACUCACCUAGUACAAAAGGCCUCGGAAAGACACAAUGCGGCUGUUGCAAGAUCCUAACAUAUUUAGAUUCUCCUCACUGGUUUGCAUGUAGACACACAGCAACCUACCCACAGCCAUGGGGACAUUUAAUUCCUGAGAUGCAACUGAAGUACCUGAACCCUGAAUGCUCACGUGGCUGAAAGAAAGUGGAUUUCCCCAAGGAAUGUCCCAUCCCUGGAGAUGGCUGCCAUCAAAAGCAUCAUGUUCUGAGAAGGUAUAGGAAAGAGAUUAAGCUCCUAAGACAGGUGACGGUGUAGAGGAAGGAGUGGGGACAGGGGUGGAGGAAAGGUAAAAUGUCAGCCUUCUGAGAUUGAGACCCACAAACAUGAGAGGAGGAAAUGAGAGUCUCAAGUUUAAGCCCAUGGCUUGUAUCUAGUGGCCCUGAGCAAUGGAGGCUUUAAGGAGAAAGACAGGACACUCUGUUCAGCAUGGUGGUGUUUUUCACGUGUCAGACAUGCAUAACCAAGCCCAUGCCAAAAUAUAUUCAGUAGUGUCCUUAUCAUGCUGAAGGGAGCAGUUAAAAAAAUAAAGAAAGAAGGGAAGAAAGAAAAGAAAAGAAGAGAAGAGAAAAGAAAGGGAAAUGGUCACAUUGUAAGGUGUGGU